UGAGCAAUCUGCCCUUCUCAUCGGAAUAAGCGUUGGAAACGACGUCUAUGCCGAAUAUGACCUCCUUUUCACAUGAUCGGAGGUGGAAAGCUCCGGCGGAGAAGGAUGAGCUCGCGGCCUAUCAGCUAGUUGGUGUGGGUAACGGCCCACCAAGGCGACGACGGGUAGCCGGCCUGAGAGGGUGACCGGCCACACUGGGACUGAGACACGGCCCAGACUCCUAUGGAGG
rnacentral:rRNA from 1 species